GUAAGUGGCAAGCGUUGUCCGGAAUUAUUGGGCGUAAAGCGCGCGCAGGUGGUUCUUUAAGUCUGAUGUGAAAGCCCCCGGGCUCAACCGGGGAGGGUCAUUGGAAACUGGGGAACUUGAGUGCAGGAGAGGAAAGUGGAAUUCCACGUGUAGCGGUGAAAUGCGUAGAUAUGUGGAGGAACACCAGUGGCGAAGGCGACUUUCUGGCCUGUAACUGACACUGAGGCGCGAAAGCGUGGGGAGCAAACAGGAUUAGAUACCCUGGUAGUCCACGCCGUAAACGAUGAGUGCUAAGUGUUGGGGGGUUUCCGCCCCUCAGUGCUGCAGCUAACGCAUUAAGCACUCCGCCUGGGGAGUACGGUCGCAAAGACUG
rnacentral:rRNA from 1 species